rnacentral:rRNA from 1 species
UACGGAGGGUGCAAGCGUUGCUCGGAAUUAUUGGGCGUAAAGGGUAGGUAGGUGGUCUCAUUUGUCAGGGGUGAAAGCCUUGGGCUUAACUCAAGAAGUGCCCCUGAAACGGUGAGACUGGAGUCCUGGAGAGGGUCGUGGAAUUCCCGGUGUAGCGGUGAAAUGCGUAGAGAUCGGGAAGAACACCAGUGGCGAAAGCGCUCUACUGGGCCAUAACUGACACUGAGGGACGAAAGCUAGGGGAGCGAAAGGG